GACGAACGCUGGCGGCGUGCUUAACACAUGCAAGUCGAACGAAGUGGCGAACGGGUGAGUAACGCGUAAUCAACCUUCCCUUCAGAGGGGGAUAACAGUUGGAAACGACUGCUAAUACCGCAUACGGAAGGACGGGAUUGCUUCUGAUUAGCUAGUUGGAGGGGUAACGGCCCACCAAGGCGAUGAUCAGUAGGCAGUCUGAGGGGAUGGACGGGCACAAUGGGAAUGGGGCACGGGCCAGACUUCUACGGGGAGGAGGAGGGGGGAAACUUCCGACAUGGACGAAAGGCUGGCGGAGCAACGCCGCGUGGGUGGUGGCGGGCUUCGGGGUGUAAAGCUCUGUUAAUCGGGGCGCGGUACCGGAAUAGAAAGCCCCGGCUAACUACGUGCCAGCAGCCGCGGUAAUAC
rnacentral:rRNA from 1 species